rnacentral:rRNA from 1 species
CAAACUGCGAAACGUAAUGCGAUUUGCAGAACUCGUGAAUCAUUGAAUUUUUGAACGCAAGUGGCGCUCGCGGGUAAUCCUGCGAGCAGGUCUGUUUGAGUGUCUGUUAAUAAGGGAAAUAUAACUAAUUUGUACUUUCAGUAAUAUGGCUAGC